rnacentral:rRNA from 1 species
AGUAACGGCGAGUGAAGCGGCAACAGCUCAAAUUUGAAAUCUGGCUCUUCUAGGGUCCGAGUUGUAAUUUGUAGAAGAUGCUUCGGGUGUGGCUCCGGUCUAAGUUCCUGGGAACAGGACGUCAUAGAGGGUGAGAAUCCCGUAUGUGACUGGGUGCCUUCGCCUAUGUGAAGCUCUUUCGACGAGUCGAGUUGUUUGGG